AUAGAUAGAUUUAGUAGGCAAAACCACACAACCCCAAAGGUAAAAAAGCGUUUUCAAGAGUGUCACUUGUGACAUUUAACUAUUUAAGGGUCUGUGUUCUGAGGAGAAAAGCUGCUCUCCAUCAUCUCCAUUUCUCAAAGGGUGCAAGUGCAACCAUUGCAACCUUCAGUCUGAGGUGUGUGUAUGUGCGUUUGUGGGUGGAGGUUGGGAUCUCAUACGUGUCAAUCCUACAUGUUGCAUGAGUAAGGGCUUUGCCUUUCUCAUCACUCAACUCAGAUAGAUAGAGAUAUAAUACCAAAACCAAGUUCAUCUUUCUUCUUUUCUUUUUUCUCUUAUUUCUUGAUUUCAUAUUACUUUUUUUAACAAGUAUUUUAUAUUAGUUAAAAGAAUUACGAAUAUUUUUAUUAUUAUUGAAAAAUAUGCUUAAAUUUGGUAUGACUGUGUUGAUAUCUAUUUUUCCCCCAAGUUUUUAAUUAAUUAUUACAAAAUUGAUACGUUAAGAUCCUUGUUAUUUUUCCUUUUCUUUUGAGAUUAUGUUCUUGUUUGGUGUCAAACCCUAAAUUUUUUUCUUCUAGUAAUUAUAUAAAAUUGUUGAUGAAUAAGAUGGUGGGUGGAUGUGGAUCAAUAAGUCCAUCGUUUUUCCUUUAAUGGGUAUCUCUCUAUUCUUCCAGAUCUGAUUCAAUUCCGAAUUUUUCCCCCUUUUGAUUUUUCCAAAUCCACUUUUCUUUAUGUGAAGCUUUCCAAAUUUGGGCAGGUAUUUGUAUUUACCCCUCCACUCAGUUUUUCUUUCUUUGGAACUUAGAAAUUGACAGAAGAGAGUGAGCACACAGAAGCACUUGGUAUAGUUAUAUACUGUUGCUUUUGCGUGCUCACUUCUCUUUCUGUCAACUUCCAGUGCUGGAAAAUUCCUUUCAAUUCUGGCUCUGCUUUGUUCCAAAUUCCAAACCCCAACCCCACCCACACUCUCGAUCUUUCUCCACACUCUGAUGGAACUGAAGAACAUCAAUUGCUACUUCAACAGGUUAAUUAUAUCAAACAGUAAAAAGCAGUGUCGUUUUGCCGUUCCUAUGUUUUCCUUUUCCUAUUUUAUUUUUCAUUUUUAUGUUUCAGUUUGAUGAUCUAUUAUCUUAUUGAUUUUUAUUAUAUUAUAUUAUAUUAUAUUAUAGCAGUGUUUUACUUGUCUUUAUGUAAUUUAAUAUUAUCUAUAAUUAAACGGAAAAACGUGACUUUCUAUAGCGUGUGGCAGAACGAACCCCCUCAUUAUUAGUGCAGAUUAAUUUAGGGGCAUUUUUUUAAAAUAUGUGUACAAUACUAUAGCAUAGCAUGGGACCAUUCACGUCAUAUAGUAUGGUCCUCAUCAAUUUUUCUUCUCUCAAACGUUCUUUUGCUCUCUCUGUCUAACAUUAUCUUCCUGAUUUCAUGUUCAUCAUUCCCUAUAUUUUAUAAAUUUUGCACAUGCGAACGAGGUUUAUUUACAUAGUAAGAGGUACUGUUUCCUGUUGAGUGUUGACUAGUGUUUGUGCCCACCUCAGGUUAAGCUAGAUUCUUUGUUUUUUGGAUAUCUGGAAUUUUGGAUGGGUAUGUGUGUUAACCGGUUUUGGUUGGUUUAUCUGAUAAACCCUAUCAACUUAAACUGUACUGCACGUUGUUUGUCUGAGCUAUUACAAAAUUGUUUGAGAGUUUGAGGAUAGCAUAGCAUAAUUUUGAUUCCUUCACAUCCUAAGAUUUUGAUUCUCCUAGAUAAAUCUUCAUUAUUUAGGAGAUUCUUGUUAAUUUUUUUCUUUUGAAUUACGUGGUGCAUUUUAAUAUGGAAAAAAAGAUUUUUGGUUGAGAAUAUUCUGCUGACGCUGCAGCAUAAUUUUUCCUUAAGUUGAAUACAGUUAUAAGCUUAGGCUUUGACCGUUCUUAAUUACUUCUUUGUGGAUAACUAGCUGCUUUCCUGAAUCAUGAGUAUGUAGAUGUUGGAAAAGAAACACCAUUAUGUUGGUUACUGUUUCUACUCUUUUUUUUUUGUGAUUGCUUCCUCUCCCUUUCUAUUAGAAAUAGCUGUUUCUAGCUGCUAUUGAUGUCAUAUAUUGGAUGGGGACUAACAUGCUUGAUAUUGUGAUUCUUGUAGGCAACAUCAAUUUGUUAUUGAAAAAGUUAAUUACCAAUCAAACAUAGUAUUUGCCUAUCUCUUUUUUGGCAAACAUAGGCUUUGUUGCCACUUAAAACAAAUCAACACCGUAUUCAUGCAGUGCCUAAUUAAUGGAAAUUCACUUCUCAUACUCCUGUUAUACUACUACAUAAAAUCAAACGAUGUUAAUCAACCUCAACGGUGGCUUCUUAUGGCAAUGGUCCUUCCUACAGUUGUGAAGGUUAACAAUUCUAUUAUUUUCCUUUUUCAAUCGAGUUUUAUUGGAUAGUGGAGAUUAAUAAGCCAGGGAGCCCAUUUAUUUCCUCAAUUAGUGUUGUUAAGGUUUUCAAAACAAAAUUUUAAUGCAAUUUAUUUUAAAAAAAUAUCUUUGUUCUAUAUUUUUGUGGCAUUAUAUGUUGGUUUGUAUGCACUUUUGUAAUUAUUAUAAUUGUCAGAAGCCGUCAUCUUUAUAAUGCCACAAAGAUUUUGUAGUUUUUAGUUUCAAAUAGGGAUUCGAAUUUUCUAAUUUCUAUAUGUUUAUUUAUUAGCUUUAUAAUUUAUUUUUCUGGAGUUUUAUCUGUAAAAUUUGUACCACCUAUCCUUUUUCACAUUUAUUUUUGGCUUUCUUUUGAUGGAGACAAUAUAUGCACCCCCAUUGGCGAAAAGACAACUUAGAAUUGGUGGAUGUAUUAGGAGUACGUGGCGGAUAUGCUUGCAAUUUUAUUAUUUUUUCCCUAGAAUUCUUUAGCUUCAAUUGUAUUUAUAUUCUAUGAUCUGAAGAAUAUGUUCCAUAAUUUUCUAUAUAUGACUAAAAUGAGGACAAAAUUUUAAUGUUACCUUUGAAUUUCUGUAUUAGUCAGAAGUUUCAUGUGGCUAACAGUUUAAGCCCACUGAACCAUCAACAAUAAAAUAUAGUUUUCUUUGUGUGUGUGUGUAAUUAGCUGAUAUGGUUUUCACAUGUAUAAAUAUGAAUAAGAUUUACUUUUCGGUUAUAUUAAUUUGAAAACGAUUUUUGGUUGUCAAAUUGAAUCUGAGAUAUUUACAAGUCCAGGUCUUUAAAAUGCAUCUACUUCACAAUAUUUUCAAGUCUGGUAUCCACUGUACUUGUUUAUAAAUGUGUGGUCAAUGGAUUUCCUUUGACACUCUUAUUUUUUGUCUUUCAAUUUGGUUUGUGAUUCUGAAAAUAAAAAAGUAAAGCUUUUUGUGGAAAAAGAAAUAAUGAAUAUAUGGUGAUGGGUUAUUGUAAGUAUUUGUUAUUAUGCAAUAAUCAGAACCAUAAUCAUAUGCCGUAUGGAUUAUUGAUUUAUAGUAGUUUGCUACAUAUUUCCCCCAUGAUUCAUUAAUUGAAAAACAUUUCAUUCAUAUAUAGAAGAUUCUAUUGUUAUUGUGGGUUACAGGUUGCUACUCAGCAUCUAAUGAUUUUUGUUUUGGUAUUACUGUACACACUGUAAUUGUUCCCUACCUAGGUCAGAAAAUCAAAGUUUUACUGCCACCCUAGCAGACUCAUAGCAUCCUUUUAAUUAGAUUCGAUUAAUGAUAAGUGUACACCCCAUUUUUUGGGUGUAUGAAUGGAAAGAAGAGAAAAGGAAAAUAAUAUAUGUGAAUUAGGAAAAGAGAGAUAGGAAGAAAAAUAAGGUGGAAAUGAGAUGGAAGACAAAGUGAGCAAAUGCUAAGUAUUUUUCCUUUAGAUUCUAUGACUUCUGUCCCUAGUGAAAAUUGAUUUAAACGGUUUGAUUCCAUGGCUUGCAUUUUGUAUAAAAAAAAGCUGAAAAUUUAUACUGUAGAAUUUAAGAUUGCACAUAUAUGGAAGUGUGUAAAUUCAACAAAGAAUUAAGAGGCUAUUUGAUUUGUGAAAACAUUUUCUGUUUACACUUUUAAUUACAAACCUACAUUUUAGUUAAUUGGGUUCAUUUUCAUUUCAAAUCGAGUUAAGUUAUAACUUUGUAUUGUGUUUUGAUUUUUCAAAGAGUUUCACUUGAAAUUGUGUUAUUUUUUCUUUUCAAUCCCUGUCAUGGCUUAUAGUUCAAAAUGAUUAUUUUAAUUAUGUGUCCAGUUAUAUAUGUUUUCUUUUGUACUUUAUCAUAAUUGGAGACUAUGUACCUGCUUUCUCUAUAUAUGCUAAAUCUUAUCUAAUCUUAGCAGGUCAUAUUGAAUAUUUCAUCAUUGUGAACCACUUCUUUUGAUAAGACAUUCAAAUAAUGAUUGAUAUGGCUAUAUUUUUAAAUUUGAUUGUCCAAUUGUUCUGUCUACAAAUUUUUAGGCAAAUGAUUUAGCAUCUUAACUUUUGUCUGCUAAAGAAAUUUCUAGUGCACAAAAGUUACUUAACUUUACAGUGAAACUUAUCAAACUAAUUCAAGUUUUUUUAAGGAAACAUUACAAUUUAGGAUGUAUUUGUAUUUGUGGUGAUUAACCAUUUUCAAGUGACAUUUUGGAGCUCAGUAAUUAAGCAUCAAACGGAAGCUGGGGACAAUAGCUUAAUUCAUGGUGACAUAACAAAAUCUAACAAAGUGCAUGUGGUCAAAGGUUUCAGCAAAACCGUGAUGAGUUAGUUCCCGAAGAGAAAGCAAAAUUCACCCUUGGAUUGAAGUACUGGGGUAGCUGACAAAAUAUUGGGAUCAUUGGAAUUUGAAAAUGCCAAACGAAUAAAAGUCAGAGGGAAACGAAGUACUUGUGCUGACCUUACUUUAGUAUUUCAGUCCUAUGUUUUCGGCUUAGAAUGAAGUACUAUACAGAUGCUGAAGACAACAAUGAGUUGAUUACAAGAGAAUUGUGUGUUAAACCUCUCACUUCGGAAGCAUAUCUAAAGUAUGAUUUAUGAUAUGAGAAUUGUGUGAACGUGUGGUUGUAAAUGCUGCUCCCUUCAAAUAUCAGUAACUGUGCCCGGUCGUUGCAACUUGCAAGUUGAGGGAAUGUGGUAUCCAUGUCAUCAUUAGAGGAUGUUUUUGGAACUGGUUUGAAUUUAUCAUCAAUUUUAAACUAUUCAGUCUGUAAAUGUUAGCCUAGUUUUUGGCACGAGGUGCAAACUUACCAGUUGGAACGAAGAAAUAUGCUUUACUAUUGGAAUUUUGUAGUCAGAUUCUGAAAGUAAAAUUUCCUUGUUUUUCUUUUUGAUGUGUAA